rnacentral:rRNA from 1 species
CCUACGGGAGGCAGCAGUGAGGAAUAUUGGUCAAUGGUCGGGAGACUGAACCAGCCAAGCCGCGUGAGGGAUGAAGGUACAGAGUAUCGUAAACCUCUUUUGUCAGGGAACAAAGGCGGGGACGUGUCCCCGGAUGAGUGUACCUGAAGAAAAAGCAUCGGCUAACUCCGUGCCAGCAGCCGCGGUAAUACGGAGGAUGCGAGCGUUAUCCGGAUUUAUUGGGUUUAAAGGGUGCGCAGGCGGUCUGUUAAGUCAGCGGUAAAAUCGUGGAGCUCAACUCCAUCCAGCCGUUGAAACUGAUGAUCGUGAGUGGGCGAGAAGUAUGCGGAAUGCGUGGUGUAGCGGUGAAAUGCAUAGAUAUCACGCAGAACUCCGAUUGCGAAGGCAGCAUACCGGCGCCCGACUGACGCUGAAGCACGAAAGCGUGGGUAUCGAACAGGAUUAGAUACCCGAGUAGUC